rnacentral:rRNA from 1 species
AUACGGAGGGUGCAAGCGUUACUCGGAAUCACUGGGCGUAAAGCGCGCGCAGGCGGCUAUUUAAGUUGGAUGUGAAAGCCUACGGCUCAACCGUAGAACUGCAUCCAAAACUAUUUAGCUAGAGCGUGGGAGAGGAAGAUGGAAUUAGUUGUGUAGGGGUAAAAUCCGUAGAGAUAACUAGGAAUACCAAAAGCGAAGGCAAUCUUCUGGAACACUACUGACGCUGAGGCGCGAAAGCGUGGGGAGCAAACAGGAUUAGAUACCCUAGUAGUCC